ACCAGUUAACAUGCAAAACCCCGAUGUCAGCUGCAGCGUGGGGAAACAAGGCGCGCACCCCGGUGGGGCACCACGUGCCGGCUAAUCAAGAGAAGCCCUAUGUACCUCUAUCAAGCUACAUGGGGAGAGGUGAUGGUUACGUUACGUGUACGUAGAUGGCUACUCCUCCACACAUGUCACUUCCAUUCGAAUCAAAUGCUGCGCCGUUGUCGCCGUCCAGGGAGGGUGGGGAUGGAUCCAAUUCAACCACUAGACGCAUGUGGUGGUUUCUUGUAUGUGAAUGCGAACAAUGCGAAAAACGUGGCAUCCAACACGGUCGGCCGGCGGUGGCUUUAAAUGGAAAUGAAGGGGAGAUGGGACGGUUGAUGUUACUGGUUUUGCCUGCAUAUAAUCUGAACAACAAUCCUAACGAUAAUGUCAAACAAGUUGAUGAUGAUGAUGAUGAUGAUGAUGAUGAUGAUGAUGAUGAUGAUGAUGAUGAUGAUGAUGACGAUAAUAUGGUAACUAAGUACACAGCGAGACGUGCGGUUGACCGGUUACGGAACAAUAACGGCGGUCGCAGGGCGCAGCUUCUCUGCUGGAGCUUGAAAUGAUUGCGGUUUUGUGGGAGAUCUUGGCGUUGCGUUGUCGCGACAUGUCGGGGCAAGACCUGCAGUCACCGGUGACGAGACAGACUAAUUUGUGAUUUGAAUAAUCCUAAAUUAGACCAUGUUUGGUAAACAGAUUAAUUUAUUAUAUUUCUUCUCCAAUUUCUUUUCAGGUAUGUCAUUUUUGGAUUUUUAUUAAGGUAAUUAUUAGCAUAGGCUCCAUAGACAAAGUGUUCAUGUGGAUAUGGAACACUAAAGUGUAGAGCAGGCUUUAACCCAGUUGGGACGUAACGCUUAGAAGAAUAAGCUGUAUGCUUUGGUAAUUUUUCAAGCUCACCCAGCUUCAAGCUUAGCUCACUUGGUAAGAAACCCUCAUCUAACUCAACCAAACCACGGGGUUUACGGAAUUCGAGCAAGGUAUAGUUAAAAUUCUCAUAAGGAAUAACAAGGAUUGCAACACAUUUUUAGAAUAGACCCUAAUCCGCAAGUCUCCAGGAAAAGGCUAUACGCAUCCCAUCGGUUCGCGAUUUUCCUCUAGAAAAGUGUGAAAAAGCUUUACUCCCCGCACAUUCUCCUGAUUCAUGCACCCUUGAAUGCACCUUUCAGCAAUAAUCAUCUAGCUCCAACCCCACCAUUAUCCGGAUGAGCUUGCAAAUGACGCGUGCACUCCAACUGCAACAUUGCAUAAUAUCAUCAACCACCCUAUCGAACGCGAACUGCCGCCCUGCUGCCAUAACAGCCAGCACACACUUCAUAUUCCUGUGGGAUUGCCAUUCCCGGUCCCAUGGCGACGAGGGAGACGAUCGUCCAAGACCGUACGGCGCAAAUCAAAUGCGCGAUUAUAUUUACCCCCGCAGGCUGGGCGGCAUCGGUCUCCAUUUCCCUAGCCCUAUCCCCCGGAUCGGGGAUGCACUUGACAAUUUGCUCCAUUAGCCCCUGUGGGAUUGUUGACUGUGCGCGGGUAUGCAUUAUUGUUGUACAUAUCUACAGUGAACCGGUACAAGUGGGGGCGGGGAUGCGGAGGACCAAUGGCAAAAGGGGACGGGAAAACUGUAGAAUGCGCUCUACACGACGACGGCUUUUCGCGAUGCACGUGGCAGUCGGCCCGCCAACUGACGGCGGCGUCCGUGAAGCCGGGCGGCAAUUGUGUGGGGUUAGUUCAUGUACUAGAUAGACUAGGUACAUAACUGCACCACAUUGGGGCAGGGGAGAGCUCUCUCGCUCACCGCAAAACAAGUUGCAGUGCAGAGGGUUGCUGUAAUGGCGGGCGGGAGGAGACGAGUGAAGUGAUGAUGUUUAUUUACUUCACACCGCGUGGCUGUUGAAAGGGAAGGAAGUGCCAUUCGAGCAGUGGCUCCCAAACGGUAAACUAACGGACUUCUAUUUAAGUACAAGGUGUGUUAUUGAUUUGUGAAUUUAAGGUCAUGAUGUGAACAUACAUGACUUGAUUCAACCUCAUUACUCCAAACGCUAAUACAUACCUUGAAUGCCCUUACUCUGAAUUCUAUUAGCCCGAAUAGGUCACUACCCCGAACGAAAUCCAUUACCCUGAAUAGGUCAUCGCCCUGAAUCGAUCAGAGAUGGUGUGGAAAAGUGUUUGUCAUGGCGAAAUUAUCAGACUUCGACUUUGAAGUCUGGCAAUUUGGCCAAACUGUGCUUAGCUUCAAUUUACUUCUGGAUACGUCUGGAUAAGGCUUAGGAUCGCCAAUCCGGAGACGGCGGGUUCGAUUCCCGUUCCGGUCGGAACUUUAUCGACUUCCCUGGGCAUAAGCCUUACAAUACACAAAUUCAUGGCAGGCAAAGAACGCUGUGGAAGUGCCCAAAAAACAUUAAAUUGCAGUGAGGCAGGCCAAAUCCCGGUGACCUUUUGAUCGAAUGACAUUUGGUCGAAUGCCGUUUGGCCGAAUUAUUAUCAAAAAAAUUAGAGAAACUUUUUGACAUUCUAGCUGCCAAUAUGACCAUCAGAAUUUUUUUGUCACAGGCUAUUCUUUAUAGUUUUACCAUUCAGAGACAAGUUGGCGCUGUAACUGCCAAUGUUUACUCUUUCAAUAAUAAGCUGUACACUGCAGUGUUGAGUGAUGUGUAGCUAAAGAAGAUUUCCCUAAAUUGUUAAUCUAGCAAACAGCAGGCGUGAAAACUCCAUCUCUCCUCUUAUGGCCAUCAUCAGGAGAACUUAUUCAUGAUGAUAGACAGUAGACAAUACAAUCUUAUUCAGGGGCCACAAAAAAAAGGCCGAAACGUCGGAACAGUAUAAAAUACACGAUUCUUCCUGAGAACCCUAAGUCUUCUGGGUUUCCAUUAAGGAUUUCUACAAUGAUUUCUCGCAGGAUUUAUUAAGAGCUUUAUCUCGGGAUUUAUUCUUCGAUUUAGCUUAGACUUCUUUCAUGAUUUUUUUCGGCAUUUUUCCCGAUUCCUCCAAUGAUCCGUCCUGGGUUUCCUUUAGGAAUUUCUCCUGGAAUUGCUUCAGGUAUUCUGAGAAGGAUUCCUGCAGGAUUUUUUUCUGGAAAUCUGUUAGGAAUUCCUACUGAGUUUAUUUCAUUGAUUGCUUCCGAGAUUCCUUUACGAAAGAUCCUCCCAGGAUUCAGUCUUUUCCGGCAUUCCAUCAGGAAUUUCUCCCAGGAUUUCUUGAACGAUUUCUCCUGUGAUUCCUUGUGGGUUUUGGGUGUGGGAUUCAAAGAUUUCUUUCGGGGAUUCCUUUACGAAUUACUACUGGGAUUAAUUCCUUCAGAUAGUCAAUAAAUGAUACUUUUGGGGAUUUCUCACGGGAUUUUUUUAAUGUCUCAUGGGGUUCUCUCAGGGAUUCCUUCUGGGAUUGCUUCAGAGUUUCCAACAGGGAAUCUUCCCUAGAUUCCUUCAGAGAUUUCAAGACUUCCCCCUCUUCGGGAUUUAUUUAUUGAUUUUUCAUCAUAUUAUUCCAUAUAUGUCUUCCGGCAUUUUUUCCGCGAUUCUUUCAGCGAAUUCCCAAAUGCAACACGGAUUCUUUUCCGGGGUUUCUGUAGGGAUUUCUCCUAAGAUUCCUUCAAGAAUAACUCAUGGAUUCUGUCAAAGACUCCUUCAGAAAGUAUUUCUACAAUUCCGGCCAAACGGCGGCGAAGUCACAAACAAUCCACACUUCCAUUCUUCGAAAUGUGUCACAUUGCUAAUACAGUACAUACACAGGCAAUAAAAGAACAAACAUAGACAGGUUAAGUACGACAUACGCAGGGAUUCUACACAGUAGAAGGAACAUUGACAAACACAAUAAAUCUAGAAACUAAGAUAGUUUACACAAAAAUUAGAUUAUUCCGAUAGGGCAUCACAGCUUCCAAAAAGAAUGGUCCGAAUAAGGGGGUAUGCUAAAGAGGGAAAAUUUUCAGUUGAACUAAAAGGGAUUCCGAAAUGUAAGAUACUUUAAUGUUAUAAUUUUAAAAGACAUAAUUAAUUGAUAAACCACACACCCACUUUACAGCAUGUAGCAAAAACGACACAAAAAGGGACAGUUACAGUUAGACAAAACCAUUGACAAAAAACGAUAGUAUUAAUUAUGUUAGUAACAAAGCAAAUUUAUGUUAAGACAAAAUUGUUAAAAAAAAACAACUUCCAAUUACAGUUUCCCCCUGAGGAAAACACUAUCCCCGUGUCGAAACGUCAGGUAAACAAAACAACUCGUGUUUUGAAUCUCAAGACUGCGUAGCCGUUAACCAAAAGAGUCAACCAUACAGUCGUGUUUCAAUAGCAGUUAGGAAUUUCUCCCAAAAUCCCUGCUGGGAUUCCGUUAAAGAAUCCUGCAGGAAAUUCUUGCGGAUUAGUUCACGGAUAUUUUCCGGAUUCCAUCAAGGAUUGCUUCGAGGAUCCUUCAACGAUUCCUCUAGGGUUUAAUUCCGAGAUUCUUUAAUAGAUUAUUUCCGAGAUUGUAUCAAGAAUUGUUUCUGGGUUCCCAGGAUUCCUUUAGAUGUUUCUCCUUGGCAGACUUUAGAAAUUCCUUCCGGAAUUCUUCCUUGAUUUUGCUGAGGUCUCCUUUAGCGAUUACUCCUGAGAUUCAGUCAGAGACUGUUUCAUGGAUUCUUUCCGGCCCUUGCAAGAUUUCCCCCGGGAUUGCUGCUGAGAUUCCUUCACUGAUUUCUAUCGAGAUUCCUUUUAGGGCUUUCAUUGGAGAUUCCUCAUAAAUCCUUCCAGGGAUUCUUUCGGAAAUAUCUUCGGUGAUUCCUUCAUUGAUUCUUCCCGGAUUUUCUUAAGGAAUUUAUCCCGGUAUUUCUUCGGGAGUCCUCCCAAGAUUAAAUUAAAUAAUUAUUUCAAAGGAUUCCAUUGAGGAUUUCUUCAGGCAUUUCUUCAGAGACUCCUUCUGCAUUUUUUUCAGGGCCUUCGGGGAUUCUUCCUGAGAUUUUUUCAGGAAUUACUCCUGGGGUUCCUUCAGGGAUUCAUCAAGGGAAUCCUUCAGAAAAUUCAAAGAGAAUACUUCUGAGAUUCAUUCAGAGAUAAUUUCAAUAUUUUCUUAAGAUUUCUGGCGCAAUUGCUUCAGAGAUUUCUUUCGGGCUUUUUUCCGGAAUUCCUUCAAAAAUUCCUCCCAGAAUUCCUUCAUUGAUUUUGCUCAGGUUUCUUUUAGGAUUCUCUCAGAUAUAUUUCAAAGGACUCCCUCCGGAAUUGAUUUUGGAUUUUUCCGGGAUUCCAUCAUUGAUUGCUCCCUAGAUUACUACGGAUUUUUUUUUUCAGGAAAUUUAUUUGGGGACUCAUCGAAGAAUCUGGAUUCCUUCAGUAAUUGUUCCAGUGAAUCCUCUUUCGCCAUUGAGCAUUUCUUCCACGAUUUAUUCAGGGUUUUCUCUCGAGAGAAUCUUUCCGGGAUAAUUUCUUUAGGAUUCCUGUCGGGAUUUCUUCCUAAAUUUCAGGGGUUGCCUGUUCAAGAAAGUGGCAUUGGAAGAAUUUACAUAGGGUUGACAUUGCUUCCUAAAUAGAUGAAAUUCCGACAGAAUGUAAUGACAAAAUUUCAUAAGAAUAUCAUGUGGGCAUUCACAAGAGAAACUGUGAAAAAAGGGACAAAUUCAACAGCUCUUCUCAAAGUAUUCCUCAAAAAUGUCUUUGGAAGGCUAAAUACAAUAUAAGGUCGUUUUGUUAGUAUUUUAUGUUAGAGUUUCUCUAUAAAUAUCAUCAAAAAUUUCUCUAUGGGACCCCUAGGUAUUUUAGGAAGCCAUAUGCACGAAAUUCAUUAGCAACUCUAACGUUCUUAAAAAUCUGCCUCCAUUAGAAAUCUACCAGAAAUUAUUAUUUUUGGAUAAUCCAAAGAUACUUGCUGUAUUCUUGAAUGAAUGACUAUACAAAGCCCUUCUUGCAUUUCUGCAAGAACGAAUUCCUAAAAGGUGCUCAAAUUAUACCAAGAGAUAUCAAAAUGAAUUAUAGCAUAGCUUCUCUUCUAAGAAACAAUGAAGCUCAAAUUUUGAAUAUCUCAAUUUGGUCGAAACGAAAGGCAUUCUUUUGUUUAAAGGUCUAUAAACAUGCACUUGUUUAGGCCCUUUAACAAUAAUUUUCUGUUGUCGGCAAUGUUUAUCAUUAUUAUUAAUAACAAUCAUUCUAAUUCUUGAAUUACAUCUUUCUUUUCUGCUAGCAUUAUGUCAUUUCAUUAGUGUCUCCGCUGUUUUAACAAAGAGCAUUCUUUGUCAAUUGACCAUUCAUGCAUUCGGCACCGAUUCAUCAAAUUCUUUCAAAAAUACACAAAUAAGAAACAAUACAAGCAGCGUCUCAGUUCUUCUGUUUUGCAUAGGAUGAGAAUCGAAGCACCUUGCUGACUAGUAGGAACAGUCUCUCAAUUUCUUCACUGUGAAUUAUCAAAAGUGACCUAGAGUCCAGAUAAUAAAUCUGUAAAAUUUUCAUUUUGGAUUCCUCUGAUAUUUUUACACGGAAUCAGUUUUUAAUGUUGUCAACUUUCAACAAAUUCUACUAACACUCUAGACAUUACACCAUAAGUAUCGCUAAGGUUUUUUUUUCGAGAAGUUGCUUUUUCUGAAACUUCAUCCGAACUUCUACUGGUGGUUCCCAUUGAAGUUUACUGAAAUUUUUAGUAAAACAAUAUAUUUUCACACGUAAAUACGUGCAAGGGUUGCGUCUUGCGUCUGAAAUUCUGCUCGGGGUUUCGCUCAAAAUCAUCUCCGGAUAAAUUUCCGACUGACUGUUGCGAAUGACAAAUGGCCGGAAGAACAAGUUAAUGUAUUUUUAGGUAAUUCUUUCCACUUUUUGAACAUAAGGUCAUUCUAUAAAUUCGGUCAAAUGUCUUGCGACCAUUUGUCAGUCGAAGCCUUCCGUUAUAACAUUGCUAGUAAUUUUAGAAAUUCUAAAGAUCCUCGAAGAAAUUUUCAGAAAUCCAUAUGAAGUUUACAUAUUAGAAACAGCGAUAUUUGUUCCAAACAAUUUGCCUGCGUUUUCUACAGAAUUCCAUCAGAGCAUUCUUUAGAAAGUUUUAUGGUAGAAAAUAGUUGUUGUCACGAAGCAGAACUUGAAUAUUUGUUUAAGGAGUACGACGUAAAGUUAUAAAUGAUUUUGAAUUCUUACUGUAGUUUCCGGUAAUCCCUUAGUUCUUGAAGUUUUGGAAAUGUUCUCGAAAUCUAUCAUGUUAAUCGGGGAAAAUUGUAGAAAUUUUCAAAGGAACGCUAAAACUGUUUGGGAACCACUGCUUCAGCGACAACAAAUUCUGAUUUUAUUUAUUUUUCAAACGGCGAGCGCCACGCCAGGCAGCGUGCGAGGGGUAUAGUGAAGGAAAGAUGUUUAGAUUCCGAUUAAAUGCAGCACUUGCACUAGAAAUAGUGCAACUCGAGAUGGUUCGUCUUGAUUGUGGACCGACACCGGGAGCUGAUCGGAAUCUUAUCGGCCCUGCCACUGACACUGCACUGGUAUGACGUCAAUCGACUCGGGUGAAUGCAUUUCUGUCACUCCAGCUUGAGCCACAAAGUACUCUAGUUUUGCCACCGAAGGCAAAGUGGCCAGAGUGCGGUACAAAAAUAGCAAUGCGGCGGUGGUGAACAUCAAAUGUCCGCUGCACUGUCGGCAGCAAUAGUGUGGAAGAUAAACAGACCACAGAUAUCGGUGGUGGAAGCGGUCAUCGCGUGGCACCAACACCACGUUGAAUCGGUGCACUUGAAAUUGCAAAUAUUAUCCAAAUGCAAUUACUCAUUUCUCACCGGGCCGCGGUGUUUACAGCCUAUUCAUACAGAGUUGGUCACAUUAUUCGAAACUUAUUGAUGUUUCGAACAAAAUGCUCAAUCAUUAGAUGUGCUUGGUAGUAUAAUUGCUAUCGCUUCUGAUUUGUAGGUAGAAGGUUCUGGGAUCGAUCCCCAGCCCAUUCAUUUUAUACAACUUCGAGGUCUAAUUUUUAAAACUACACUGACACUUAAUGAAUUGUUUUAAAGAAAUAGACCUUCGACAAUUUCAUUUAUCAUCUGAUGGCCGUUAUUUCCCUCAAAUCAGAAUUCAUAUAACUUGAUCUUUUCCGAAAUGUCAGGCAAAUCGAUCCCAAAUUCCCAAAUUUUCAAUAUAAGAGUUUCAGAUGUAUCGAUCUAUACUGUUCCUUCCAUUGCAUUCUUUGUUUGUGUAACACGAUGCACCUCAUUGUUGCCGUUUUUGUUUGUUGAUUCAACAAGUUACGCUAUGUAUCAACUCGUAACUGUCUCUUAUUUAUACGCAGUUCUUUACCUACGGUUUAUAUCUACUGAGUAUACACACAGCUAGAUACCGAUACUGUGGUGAGUACGAGAAUGUUUAGAGCGCUCGACGCUGCACGAGCCAGCCCGACUCAUGCCGGGGCUGUAGGCGCUCACUGUACCUAUGGAUUUCCGAAGAUGCAACACACUUUUCUCACACCACCUCCCAAAUGGUGCAGUGUUUGCACAGGGCCUUGUGGACGGUUGGUCACGCGCUUCCCGGGACCCAGAGAGCUGGCUACGGUUGAUGGCUAAUGACUAUCCGUGCAAAUAGGGUAAGAGCUGGAUGUGGCUGCAACGAUGCAAUGUAAUGGGUUUACAGUUUUGUACAAAUAAAAAUGUACUUAUUAAGGAAGUUCCCCUUUUUUUUUUUUUUGCAAAACAGUGGAAGUCUUGGCAAAAUCUUACAAUUAGAAUUUCAGAAACUUUUGUGAUUUUUUCAGGCUAGUUUUAUUUCUAUAGAAUCACUAAAAUGUCGUUCAAAAUUACAAAAUAACAGGCUUUUACAGAAAGACAUAAGUUUCAAGCAUUUCUGGCAUUGGAAAACAGUUCGAAUUCCGUCAAACAGAUAAUGCGGGAUUUAUUUAGGCACUAAGAAAAUAUCUGAAAACUAUAUAAGCUUCUCGAAAUUUCAGGAUUUUUUUCUGGAGAUUUCUAAAGAAUGUUCAGUGUUCUGACCAUUUUGCCUUUCUCGUACACCAAAGUGUACUGAAAGACUGUAUGAUCACUCACAAAACGAAUUUUCGAUAGAAGACCAAUCAACUCAGUUCGUCGAAUUAAGAUGAUGUCUGUAUGUGUGUAUGUAUGUAUGUCUGUGCGCAAAAAAGUUCACUCACUUUUAGGGCACUUCCCAUUGACCGAUUUUUCGGAUUAUAGCUCAAAUCGAACCGGAAUUUUACCGCAUUGUUUGCUAUUAAAAAUGGUCCAGAUCGACCAAGGCGUUCCAGAGUUAUGGCCAUUUCAGUGAUCCAGACCACAAGCAACCGGUAGAACUGGCCGUAUAUAAAACUGAACGAAGCCCCAUCAUGCGGACACAUCAAACUGCGGCGAUUUUUGUAACCUUUAGCAUGGUUGACGAGUUUUGUGCGGAAAUCAAUACUGAGACCAUAAAUUUUACAAUGUUGGUCCAACGUUCAAGAUGGCAACCUGAUAUUCAAGAUAACGGCUGAUUAAUAGUUUUAGGCUCUUAAACAAAGCAAUACAGUCAUGACCCGCUGGUUGGGGGUUUAAUAGUUGGGUGGCUUUUUAGUUGGGGCUCCGUUAGUUGAGCUGUCAGCCAACUAAAAAGUACCUGGAUGUCAUAAUUCAAUGUCAAACUGAAAAUGACAACCAAUCUGCAACUCGGAGGAGCGAGCUAAUGAGUUUUUGGUUUCUUAAAUUUUACUGAUAAUCGAAAAGAAUUUCUAUUUCAUAUUUCUUAAAAAAAACAAUAUGUACAAUUACUUCGAAACAAAUGUAAAACAUCGACAAUCUUUAUUUUGUCGAUCAUUGAAAGCGUUUUGUGCUUGCAUUUUGCUUCGGGUGGUUUCAUAAACAUCUAUAUUCUCACUUGACCGACUAAAAAUGGGUGAAAAUAAUUAUUUCUCGCAUUGGCCAAAACGUAUCAGUUUUGCUCUAAAUGUAAAAGAAAUAGAAAAAUUUUACUUUUUACUUCCAACCUAAACGAUUAAAAAAAAACAAUGUGCACGCCCCUUGUGCUGCUGUCACUUCACCCAACUAGCGAAUCGAAUUCGUUGGUUGGGUGGAGGUUGUGGCUCAACGAGCGGGUUCCGACUGUUUGGGGUAUAUUUUGAAUGGGGAAGAUCUCCGACUUCCAAAAAUCGCGACCAGAUCAUCCAAGUUAGCGGUCUAAAAUUCAAGAUGGCGGCUCCAAAUUAAAAAUGGUGCAUUUUAAUUGGAGGGUUAGGCUAUACAAAAACCUAUAUUAUUGGUAUACUUGGUAUGAAGAAGAUAUCCGGAGUCCCUAAAACCAUGAAAUAUGGGUAUAUUUAGUAUGGGCAAGAUGUCCGAAGUCCAAAAAUUUCGACCAGAAUAUCCAAGAUGGCGGUCUAAAAUCCAAGAUGGCGACUGUUUAAAGGAGUUUUAGGCCCUAAAACCAUAGAUAGUAAGGAAAACAUGUCCGGAGUCCAAAAAUAACGGCCAGAAUAUCCAAGAUUAUGAUGUAAAAUCUAACAUGGCGUCCCAAAAUUCAAGAUAGCGGCCAUUCAAUGCUGUUUUAGGUUAAUAAAUCAUUCAAUAUGUUUAAUGGAGUGUUAGACUCAAAAACCAUUCAAUAUGGGUAUAUUUGGUAUGGAGAAGACGUCCGGAGUCCAAAAAUGGCGACAAAGAUAAACAAGUCGGUGGACUAACAUCAAAGAUGGUGGCUACAAUUUCAAGAUGGCGUCUGUUUAAUAGAGUUUUAGGCCCAAAAACCAUGCAAUAUGGGUAUAUUUAGUAUGGACAAGAUGUCCGAAGUUCAAAAAUAGCGACCAGAAUAUCCAAGAAGGCGGCUCCAAGUUCAAGAUGGUGGCUGUUUAAUGGAGUUUUAGGCUUUAAACCGUUCAAUAUGGGUAUAUAUAGUAUGGGGAAGAUGACCGCAAUUCGAAAUGGCAACCAGAAUAUCCAAGAUGGCGGUCUAAAAUCCAAUAUGAUGGCUCCAAAUUAAAGUGACCAGAUGAUCAGAGCUCCAACGCGGGACAUUAUUUUGGAAAGAUGAAUAGUAAGGUGAAAUCAUGAUCUUUUUUUUUUUUUGUUAACGAAUACCUACGUAGCGAUUUUUUUUGUUCGUAGAAUACGAAGUAUUCAUUUCUUCUACCAAGCAUAUCUUUCUGCGAUGUGAGCUUUGCAGAAGUGGAACAAACUCAUAAACAUUUUUCUACAGUCUUCAAAAGAAACCUGAGAAUUAUAUCUAGCUGUCGAAAAUGGCUUUAAUAUUUCAACUCUCAAUUGCUUUCAAAAUUAAAAUCAAGGUGUUUCAAACUUCGUACACAACUGAAAAAAAAAUCGUUUAUUACAGCAUUUUUGCCUGACAAGCAUGACGUGAACUAUAUAUUUUUUUGUGGUUAUUAUUAAGUGCCUGAAAAUGUUAAACAAUCUAGCUGCUGCAUGUCCAAUUUUGUCCGUACUAUUGCCUUAAGUAGCUCGGAUGCUUCUCUGUCAACAUUGGAUUAACUUAUUGGAAUUUAAUUUACGAGCGUACCGCCUGCCAGUCAAUGAAGGCUUUGAUAUUCACCCACUUGAAAAAAAAUAACACAGUCAAAAUAAAUUUCCGAUAAAAGUUUACUAUACUGGGCUUGGAAAGAUUUAAACUUCGGGCAACGAUUUCCUUCCGGAUUUUUCAUUCGACUGUGCACAGUGCGCACUUACAUACUAAUAAAAGUAGUUUUCUACCCUGUAGUUUGAACUUGAGACAGUAUCGUCAACUGCUUUCAGGGUGGCCACUAAAUAUCAGUUUUGAAAUUCCCGUCUUUUUCCCGGUUUUCCCGGUACGAUUUCUGAAAUUUUCCCGGUUUUUAAAAUGCACAUUUUUUAGUAGGUAACGCCCAAUUUUUGUAUCAUAUGGAUGAUAAGUACCAUGUAAAAAUGCACUUGCAAUCCUGUGAAUACUAUGUACUAGAUAUUUAUAGUUUAAUAUUAUUUUUGAUGUAAUGCAUGUAUGGAAAAAAUUGGAAGUAACUACCAUUGAUGACAUAAAGGGCGUAUGCUACACAAUUACUUACAACAUAUUUUCAUACAGCUACAAAUUCGCAUAAUCUAAGCUUUCCCUCACUCAUUAUUUUACUUAUUUUCUUGUACUUUAAAAAAAACAAGUGUAGAAGUGGUAGCUAACUAUGACAGAUCUGUAAUAGGUAAGAUGUGCAUAUAAAAUCAGCAAAGGUCGCACUCGAUUAUCCGGGACUUGGAGGAUAAUCGAACCAUUUUUUUAAAUUUUAUUCAUUAGCGUAGGUGCCCUAACGCAACUUCAUUGGUGUUGUUUCCGGGGAUUCCUCCAGGAUGUCCAACUGAGUAUUCCCCCAAAAAUUUACAUUUGGGGAUUCUUACAAAGUUUUGUCCGAGAUUUCAUCUUUCGAUUACUCCAAAAAUACUAUCUUGGAUUUCUUCAAUAACUUCUGUUGGCGAUUUCACCUUGUAUAUCUUUUGUGGAUUCCUCUAGAUUCCUCAACCGUCCAUAACUAGCGCGGUUGGCCAUCACCGCCAGCACCACGCUAAUGCUGAACACAAAAAGCGAGAUUUUUUCAACGUGUUGUACAAAACACAACAGCGCGAUCGCUCGAGGGUUAAUGGAUUUAUUCUGGAAGAAGUUCCUUUGGGGAAUUUAGGAUUUUAGUCAGUCUGUUGGCAAUUAGGGAAUAGAACUUUUGGUCUGGGAUCAUGAAUUCGAUCUAGGGAUUUCUCCUGGAACUCCUAAAGGAUUCCCAAAAAAAUCUCCUACAUGUCUAGAAGGUUUCCCAAGGAACUUGGAAGAGUUCUCGAUUACAAAACUCCCGCAGUAGUUUGAUUUUCAGGAUUCUGGAGUAUUUCCAGAAAUAGCUAUCGUCAAGUUUUUGUAAGAAAUUUUGGGAGAUCAUCCAGAAGGAACUCCUGGGUGAUUUGCAGAGGGACCUUCUGAAGGAUGCCCAAAAGCAAUUCCUGGAGCAACUCCAAAAGCAACUUUCAUAAGCAACUCCUGGAGGUUUCUUUGAACAAACUCCUGGAGGGUGCCCAAGAAGAACUCUUGAAGGAAAACAGUAAGAAACACUGGAGAAAUUCCAAAAGCAAAUAUAAAAUAAAGAUAAAAUUCAGCAAAACCUCUUGGAAGUUUUCAAAACCAAAGUUUCAGAAGGCACUCCUGCAGAAAUCGUGCAAAGAACUUGUGGAGAUGGAUGAGUAACAGAAUGAUAUCCUGGAGAAAUACCAGAAGAAACUCUGUAAAGAGUCCCAGAAAGAACUUCCGAUUGAUUUCUAAAAAAGCUUUCGGAGUAAUUCCAGUAGAAAAUUCUAGGGAAACCCCAGAGGAAGCUCCAGGAAGAAAAGGAAGAAAAUUCUGGAGGGAUUUCAAAAAAAUAAUCUGGGAAGAAUUCCCGUAGGAAAUUUUGAAGAUUGGAGCAACUCCUGUUACAAUUGCGGAAGGAAAAUCUUGAUGAAUCUUAAAAGGAACUCUUGAAUAAAUUGCAAUAGGUUGUCUUGAUUAAAACCCAGUUUAGUGGUUAUGAUUUUCUUAUCUACUAAAACUUUUGAAAAAAUCUCAGAUGCAAGAAACUCUUUCCUCGAAAAAAUCUCAUCGAAUUCCAAGAGAUAAUCAAGCGGUACAAAAACCUAGAGGAAUUCUAGAGGAAACUUCUUGAAGAAUCCCAAGUUCUGUUUUAAGGAAAUUCCAAGUGAUUGCACAGGCGAAUUCCUUGGGAUUUCGUAGAAGUAUUUUGGUUUGGCUUUGAUUUUGCAGAUUUUCGUGUUCGGUGUAAACAUUCAAAUAUGCACAUCAAGUUACUCUCUUAACAACAAUUUUCCCGGUAAUCAUUCCAAAUUCCCGACUUUUUCCCGCUUUUUUCCCGGUCGUUCCGAAUUCCCGUCUUUUUCCCGGUUUUCCCGUUUUUCCCGGUUCGGUGGCCACCCUGGUAAUUGUACUCUUAUCACUUUCUAUUUUCUUCACCGAACUGUAAAAUGAUGCUGCCUGAAUGUGCAUAAAAAUCAAUCAAAUUUUCGAUUUUUUUUUCUUCAAAAAUAAAAAAAAUGCUGGGACUGCUAUCGCUCGAUAAAAAAAAAACUUUCAACAGUUCAAACUUUACUGUAACCCAGAAUCUUCAUGUACUUUCUCGCAAAAAUCUUUCAGUUUUUGAACUCUGAUGUUCAAAGUUCCGUUAAUAUGUUUGAUGUGAUUUGUGCUUUGUACAAAACCGAUUUGACUAUUUUGGCUUUGAAGUUACUAGUUACUACAAUAUUUUGAAUGCUUGUUGAUUUUUUUUUCAAAGGCGGGACAUUUUUACGAUUUGACACAAACGCGGGACAUAAUUUGUCCCGGGACAUUUGGUCGAAAUGCGGGACUGUCCCGCGAAACGCGGGACGUCUGGUCACUUUACUCCAAAUUCAAGAUGGCGACUGUUUAAAUGAGUUUAAUGUCCUAAAACCAUGCAAUAUGGGUAUACAUAGUAUGGAGAAUAUGUCCGGAGUCCAAAAAUAUCGGCCUGAAUAUCCAAGAUGAUGAUCUUAAAUCUAAUAUGGCGGACUUAAAUCCAAAAUAGCGGCUCAAAAUUCAAGAUUGCGGCUUUUUCUUACAGAGUUUAGGGCUCACACAUCAAAAGUCAGAUAAACGAUAUGAUUUCUGGUGCCAUGAAAUAGAUGCUUGUUAAACGAGUGAAAGUGCGAUAUUCUUCAACAUGUCACUUGAGUUUUGUUGGAAUGGGAUUUCGAAGGCUCGAGAAAGACUAGAUCACCGCUAGGUGGAUUAAUAAGGAUUUUUUAAGUAUUAUGUCAGUGAUUAUCUCAGAAUUGAUUGAUUGAUUUGUCUUUAUUAAAGAGACUUUCAGCCCUUGGCUAAAGUAUCUCAGAAUAUUGAAGGUUUAAUAUAAUGAUUCCUGCUCAAACGUUUUUCAAAAAUGACGUUUGGCAAAAGAAGCUUCUGUUAAUAACUGUAAAAGUGGUCACAGAAUACUAAGCUAAGAAGCAGUUUUUGUUCCAGUGAGGACGUUACGUCAAAAUGAAGAUGUUUGAAAAACUUGCUUAAAAUAACAUCUAUAAGACCAAUUUGAUCUUCUAGAAUACAAGAGGGGUAACGAAAGAACACCUGUAUAUGUAGGUACUGUGUAGAACAACAAGCAUGUCGUUGUUGUUUUCGCAUUCUCGAUUAUUCCAUCGGCAAUUAGUAUAGUGUAGCUUUAUAAAGAAAGAGUAGGCUCAGCCACGUGUGGUUCCCCCUCGAACCACCAAGCUCGAAGCAAGCCGCCCAACUGGCCAACAAUUGCGGUAUAUUGCGCAACAACCACUUGCGAAAGCGCAUUAUGUAGGUACGGCUUCCUUCCAGUCCCGGUCCUUUUCUGCUGGAGGAGGAAUGUUUGCUUGCGAAUGGCCUCUGCCUCUGUGAAUGGCUUCUAUAUUUUUCGCUUCCUUUCACGCAAUGUCGGAAUAGACCCGGCUUCGCCGUGGAGGUGUUGAAAAUCCAGAGAAGAGAGAGCGGACAACAUCGCCACCGCCAUCGCCGUUCUGACCACCCAUCAGGACGACUAUGUGUGGCGAAAUACGAGCCCGGAGGCCGGUGAGACGUCAUCCUAGCCUAGCACUACUGCCAUUGGAUACGGUCAAGUACAGGAAAACAACAACGGGUUUGGAGAAGGGGGAACGUUAAGAAGGGGGGAACGUGGAGGAAGGGAGGGGAGCUGGAAAUGCGCACGAAAUUGGCGUGUGGGUGGCUGUCCCCAACAGAGAGCUACAGGUGGAAAUAAGUUGACCUUUUCGCCAGAAGACAGAUCUUUGCUAGGGUGGCCCAUGCUUCGCGAUUUCGAAUCUUAAGAAAUAGUCGAGGACGUGAUUUACCCUUCGAAAAGUUCUUAAAGCUGUUUUCAAAUAUAUAUGCCAUAUAGUGUUUUAACAAUAUGGAACGAGCUCACCAAUUAAUGUCCAUCCAAGUGACCACCGGAGAACAGAAUCGAGAGGAACAAGAGGCUUCUGCUAUUGGAUGGGGCAUCGUAAAACAUUCCACAGAACGUUGCCCCCCCGCGUGGUCAUUUGUCCAUACAAAAUUUUUAAUUUGUCCAUACAAAAUGGUCAUUGGCCGAACCCCCCCCCCCCCCCCCAUGACCACGUGGUUUAUGGACAGCCCCUUAAAACAUAUGACGACCGUGAACGUACAUGCUUAACAUGGCGACCGUAUCAUGAAAGGAAAUUGGCAGAUUUUAUCAAAGUAUUAAAGAGAAUGACGGUUUUGGAAUUUUCUUUACCUAAUACAGUAGUUUGAAGUAUUUUUUUUUAACACAAUAAGCUGAUGAUCAUUGUUGUUCUAUUUUUAGCAAAGCAAAGUUGCUUACUUCAUACAUAUCAUUCUCCGGAAUUAAUGCUUCGAUUCAGCUGAAAUGUCCAAUAAGUUGCCAACAACGACUUUCAUCAAUCUGACAAAAACACUGUAUUCUUGUGAUCGAAAGAUAUUAUAUUCUGCUUUCCAUUCAUGCCAGAAAAUUUGAAAUUGAAAUUUGAAAAUUUGAAACAAAGAUUUUAAUUUUUAAUGUUUUUAUCAAAUACACUGUUUUUUUUUUGAAAAAAAAAAUAAAACGAGCUCACCAGAAGGACUAAGUGAUUUCUACAGUUCCUUCAGAGGAUUCAAGGAUGUCUCUAGGAUUUUCAUCAGGGAUUCUCUCAAAAGAACUCUCAGCUAUUCCGACAAGAGUUCCUUCAACGAUUACUCCACAAGUUUCUUCAGAACUUCUUUCAGGAGGAUUCAGAGAUGCCUCCAGGAGAUCCAUCAGGGAUUCCGCCAGAAAUUCCUAUAGGACAUAUAAGAAGUCCUUCAGAGAUUGGUAUAGGAGUUUCUACAGGAAUUCUUUCUGAAGUUCAAGAAUUCGAACAGUAGUUUCUUUAGGAAUAAGUCCAGGAGUUUUUCAGAGAUACGUGCAAAAGGUCCUCCAAAGAACUCCAAUCAAUGAUUCCUCUAAAAUUCCAAUCAUGGAUUUUUCCUGGUAUUUUUUUAAGGAAUUCUUUCGGGGAUCUCUGUAAGAGUUUCUUCAUGGGUCUCUCGAAAAGAUCCAUCAGAUAUUCUUCCUGGAGAAUUCCUUCUGGGAUUUCUCCAAAUAUUUCUGCAAGGAUCCCUCCUGGAAUUCUUUCAGGGGUUUCUCCAAGAAUUCCUUCAGGGGUUAUACCAGUAGUUCCUUUAAUAAUUUCAACAGGAGUUCCUUCAAGAAUUCCUCCAGGAUGUUUUUCAGAAACUUGUUCUGGAAUUCCUUCUGAAAUUCCUUCGGGGAUUCCUCUUGGAAUAUCUUCGGAAUGCCUCGUGGAGAUUUUCCAAAGAUUCUACCAGGAGUUCCUUUAAGGAUUUCUCGAGGUGCUGCUUCAGGUAUUCCUACAGAAGUUCCUCCAAGGAUUAAUUUAGGAGUUCCUUUGAGGAUUUCCUCGGAGUGCAGUGGUUCUUUCAGUGAUUGCUCCAGAAGUUUCUCCAGGAAUUUGUCCAGGAUAUCCUUUCAAGAAUCGCCCCAAUAGUUCCAUUAGGGAUCUCCCCAGUAGUUCAGUAGUUCAUCCAGGAUGAUUUAGGGAUGCCCUCAGGAGUUUUAUCAGAGAUUCUUUCAGAAGUUCCCUCAGGUAUUCCGACAGAAGCUUCUUCAAGUGUUCGUCUAAAAUUACAAUAAGGGAUUCAUGCAGGGGCUUCUUCAAAGAGCUCUCCAAAAGUUCCUUCAGGGAUCUCUCCAAGAUAACCAUCACAGAUUUUUCCUGGAAGAUUCAAGGAAGCUUCCAGAAGUCCCAGGGAUUCCUGCAAAAGCUUUUUCAGGGAUUCCUACAGAAGCUCCUUCAGGGAUUAGUCCAGGAGUUCCUUCUAAAAUAGCUCCAGGAGUUUUUUUUUUUCAGGGAUAUCUUCAGAAGUUCCUUUAGAGAUUCUUCCAGCAAUUGAACCUUGAAGUUCUUCGGGGAUUUUUUCCAGAAGGAUUCAGGAACCCAUCAAGGAUUUCUCCAGCAGUUCCUUCCGGAAUUCCUGCAGGGGUUACUUCAAGGAUUCUUCUAAGUCUAAGAGUACUUUUAAGGAUUUCUCUAGGAAUAUAAUCCGGCAUAUCUCUAGGAUUUCCUUGUUGGAUCAAGGUCCCAUAGACUGCCUACGAGAAUUCCUCCAGGAUUUCUUUCAGGGAAUUCUCCAGGAUUUCCUUCUGGACUUACGUCUGAAAUUCUUUGUAGGAUUGCUACUGGAAAUCCUUCGGGGAUUCCUUCUGGGAAUUCUUCAGAAUUCCAUCUAGAAUUCCUUUUCUUUCUGAAAUUGCUUCUAGAAAUUCUUCGAAAAUUCCUCCUGGAAAUUCUUCGGGAAUUGCUCUUGGAACUCUUUCGAGGAUACCUCCUGGAAAUCCUUCUGAAAUUCCUCCUGAACAUCUCUCGGAGUUCCCUCCUUGAAAUUGUUUGGAGAUUUCUCCUGGAAUUCCUUCGGGGAUACCUCCUGGAAAUCUUUAGGGGAUUUAUUCAGGAAUGCCUUCGGAGAUUCAACAUGGAAAACCUAUGGGAAUUCCUCCUGGAAAUCCAUCGGAGAUUACUCUUGGAAAUUCUUAAUAGAUUCGUCCUGAAAAUCCUUCGGGGAGUCCUCCUGGAGUUCCUUCGAGGAUUUCUUUUGGUAAUCCCUCGGGGAUUCCUCCUGGAAAUCCCUCAGGGAUUACCCCUUCUUCUUCUUCUUGGCGUAACGUCCUCAUUGGGACAAAGCCUGCUUCUCAGCUUAGUGUUCUAUGAGCACUUCCACAGUUAUUAACUGAGAGCUUCCUCUGCCAAUGACCAUUUUGCAUGUGUAUAUCGUGUGGCAGGCACGAAGAUACUCUAUGCCCAAGGAAGUCAAGGAAAUUUCCUUUACGAAAAGAUCCUGGACCAACCGGGAAUCGAACCCGUCACCCUCAGCAUGGUCAUGCUGAAUACCCGUGCGUUUACCGCCUCGGCUAUAUGGGCCCCUGGAAAUCCUUAAUAGAUUUGUCCUGGAAAUCCUUCGGGGGUUUCUCCUGGAAACUCUUCGGAGAUUCCACCGGGAAACCCUCCAAAAAUUUUGCCUGGAUUUUCAAGAUUCCUCCUAGAAUUUCUUCGGGAAUUUCUUCUGGAAAUCCUCCUAAAAUUCUUUCAAGGGUUCCUCCUUGAAUUCCUUCGGGAUUUUUUUCUGUAAUUUAUUCGGAAAUUCCUCCUGGAAAUCCUUCGAGGAUUCCUCCUGGAGUUUCUUCGGGGGUUCCUUUCGGUAAUCCCUCGGGGAUUCCUCCUGGAAAUCCCUUGGGGAUAACUCUUGGAAAUUCUUCAUAGAUUCUCCUGGAAAUCCUUCGCGGAUUCCUCCUGGUUAUUCUUCUAGAAUUUCUCCUGAAAAUCGUUCGGAACCUCCUCCUGGAAAUCCUUCCGAGACUCUUCCUGCAAAGCCUUCGAGAAUUCCUCCUGGAAUUCCUCCGGGAAUUUCUCCUGGUAUUCCGUCGGGAAUUCCUCCUUGAAUUCCUUCGGGAAUCCCUCCUGAAAUUCCUUCGGGAAUAGCUCCUGGAAUUCCUUCGGGAAUCCCUCUUGGAAUUCCUUCUGGAACACCUUCUGGAAUUUCGUGAGGAUUCAGUCUGUAAAUCCUUCGGGGAUUCAUCAAGGUAAUCCUUCUGGAAUUCCUCCUGGUAAACCUUCGAGGAUUCCUCCUAAUAAUCCUUCUCUCGACAAGGAAUCUUCCUAAUCAUGCCGCACACAUGCUCACUGUUUACUUUUUGCGCCGACAUCUAGCCGUGUUCGUUUUGCGCCGAACAACAAACUACCGGCAAUGACCCUUCCGAAUCUAGCCGCUGGCGCUCACAUGCUCACUGUUUGCUUUUUGCAUUGAACAACAAACUUCCGGCAAGAAAUCUUCCGAAUCUAGUAUGGAUAAAUCGAUUUUUCAUACAUUUUGAUCGGGGACUUGGACUUGAAAUGUGACAUUUCAAAUGUCCAAAACGCGGUGGGCAGAACAAAGUAUGUCGAGGACUGCUAGUUUCCCUUUAAGUUUUGACAUAAUUUGAUCAUUUUUUUCACAAAGUCGGAAAAUUUUGCAGAACUUAACCAAAAUUUGAAAAACACUUUUGGAUUGACAUGAUUUUAAACCGUUUUGGAAUUGUCUAUUUCUAAAAAUUCUUUUCUCAAAAUUAUCUAAAGUACUUGUAUUAUUGUUGUAUUAUUGUAUUGAAAAAUUUAAAUCGAUUGUGCUUUUAUGAAACACAGUUAUCUUUAUGAAGAACUUGUGUAUUCGAAUGUUCAACCCUGAGGGGCCACCCUAUGAUUUCAACUCAGAAAUGGCAAACGCAAAGUUUUUUCAUCAUAAAAAGUGCUACCAUCCUAGGUUUGCACCAAAUGCACCUAGGAUGGUAGAGAUGAUUUACGUAAACACUGCUGUUGGAAAAGAACUUACACAAUCAAGUGUGUCAUUGUCUUCAGAAGAAACCUAGCUAAGGCUGAGUCUGUCCACAAAUUCUACCUCAUAUUCGCCUGAGUCUGCAUCUUUCCUUUGAUUUAAUAGUGUGGUUUAGUGAAAUGCAUCAUUGUUAUGUAAUUCCAGUCGAUCGAAAAAACUACCAGGUUUCAGAAAGAUCAAAUUUUGUAAGAAGACACGGACACACGUUUAGUACUUCAAGUGAGCUAUCAGCUCUUUGAAGGAAGCGCCAUACUAGACAACGGGCUAUCAUGCAACGCCCAGUGGCACAGCCGAAAAUUUUUCCUGACAGCUGCGACGGGAAUCGAACCCGCGCCCCUAGCACGAUGCGACUAAAUGCUUGGUGACCUAGCCGCACGACCACGAAGCCACACAAACGAUAAAGCAUGUCAGCUUUGAAGUCUGUGCUAGGGAAUCACGACUUUAUGCAAGAGAUUCGUGUCCGUUCUCUCAAAAAAACCUUGCAGAACUUUGUAAUCAUCGCGACACAUGCCUGACGCAUUCUAAUACGCAUACGACUACCACUGGGGACAAAAAUAACCGCAACCCCCACGAAAAUCCCUCCAAAAGCCACACAUGAUGUUACGGUGGGACCUUACGUGGUGGCACCGUUGGCAUUUACACCUUCCAUCACGCGACCAUGUGCUCGUAUGGCCUCCGGUACCGUGCGGUCAGUUGCCGCAACCAUCACGGAACCAUGUGGCUGUUGUUGCCGCACAUCAUGGGCCCCUUAUUUGCACAUGAGGUGGUCUUAUUACACCUUGCCGCAGGGCUUGUUUACGACAGAAACAACAACAAAAACAACAACAUCGUCGCGGUUGCUAAUUCGAUUAGGGAUUUGCAUCCAGGCAGCGCAGGAUUGCUUCUUGGAGAAAAUGCCAAACCCGCGUGGGACAACUGCCAGAGUGUUCAUCGAUGAUGACGCAAGGAACCCAACGCAGGAUUUGUAGUCGGGUGAAUCUAUUUUUAGUGUUGGCUUUUGCGAACAAAGAAAACAUGUACAAGUUUCCUAGUAAUUUUGAGACAUCGGUUUAGGCAUUAGAACUUGUAGGGGAAGAUAAAGGUCCCAUUAGACGUGCCAAAUAUUUGGCCAAACAAGCCCAGCAAAUGACCAACACAACGUGAAUCAUAGCAACCUUGGAUAAAUGUUGGACUUCAAUGGCACAUAUUCGGCGAAUCAUGGCAACCUUGGAUUGAUGUCGACUUGCAAUGACAAAUAUUUGUCCAUGUGUAAUGGGGCUUAAAGGUGACUGUUUGUCAUUAUGCCAAAUAUUUGCCAUUGAAGUCCGACAUUUAUCCAAGGUUACUAUGAAUCACGUUAUGUUGGUCAUUUGUUGGGCUUGCUUGGCCAAAUAUUUGUCAAGUCUGAUGGGACCUUAACAAGCUAUUGACUAUUUAUUAUUGAACAGGAUUGCAUCACAUCAAAAUUCAAAAUCAGACGCAUACCAUUCAACCAAUCAACCUCAAACGGAAGGAAUCUGCCUCAUGAAUAUACAAAGUACCGGGUGUCCCCAUUCUAACAUUUUACUCUGUACUUCAAUGGCGCGCGAAAACGAGGCGUCAAGCAAAGCCUACUUCAUGGAAAGAGGACGUUAUGAUGAUCCUGUCUGUCUGCAACAAGCCUGAAAGGUUCAUGCUGUUAAUAUCCAGUCGGUAUCAGCUCCCCAUGGCGAUGGAUGAAUCCCCAUCGGGUGGUUCAUACCUACUUGAGUUGAUACAUGCAGUCGUGCGUUGGGAAGAUUUGCAUACCCUCUCCUUCCUUUCUCAAUGACUUUGGCGCUUGCCAUGUGCUCGGGUGGCCACAUGUUCGAAGCCUCUGCCUUGCGGCGUGUGCUCUCAUUGUGGACGUAUGCUGUCAGUUUCACACUUCUGGGGGAAGCUUUAAGUUGGGUAGGUACCUUGUAGCAGGCUGUCCACCCACGUUCAAAUGUUCGCUGCAGACUUUCUGGCAUUGCUUUGCAUAGGGUUGAGCAUUCUUCCAAUGCCAAUGACAGUACAUACUAUCAAUGAAUGUUGGGUUGUUGUUACCUCAAAGAAAGCUUAUCGUUACAUGUCGUGGUUGACAGCAUUUCAUCGCCCCCGCAAAAAUUGGAGUGGGGUGCCUGUACCAAUGAUGGCACUACCUAAGGGAAACUAUUUGUACAAAAAUAACGAGAAGACCAACCAAUGCCAUCAAUAUGAAUAUAAAUAAUAGCUUAGUUUCCAUACUUUACAGGAAAAAUAUAGAAACGGAGCCAAAACUACUUUUAGUAUUUAUUACAGCGUGUACCAAUGAUAGGAACCCUGUACUAGUUAUGGUUACAUUUAUUAACUUCGGUUCCUUUUCGCACCAUUUGCAUGCAUUCCUAAUGGGGAAUGCCAUAACUGGUACACUAUGGCGAAAAAGGGAGCAAGUAAGUCGAAAUUUUAAGGAAAAUGAUUUAUGUCUACCAUAAUUUGAGCAAAAUGUGGAGUUUAAAUGAGUGCAACCAUCUUUUGUGAACGUGAUCUGCUGUUCAUAAUUGUUUUCUUGUUGAAUUACAUCGGUAAAGGGUGAACAUCAACUAUGGCGAAUAAUUGGUACUAUUUCCAUAAUUGGCAUCAAUAAUGUUAGCAAGAAUUUGUCUGCGCCUCUAAAUUCUUUCGAUCAUAAUCCGGCCAAACGACCCUUUCGGCCUAAUGGCGUUCGACCAAAAGGAAUUCGGCCAAAUGGUCGGGCACCAAUACUAAUAACUUGUUUAACUAGUUGAUUUUCUCUGAAAUAUUUUGUCUUCAAUGAUUUAUAAAAACCAUAUGCAUCUGAACUGGCGCAAAUUGUGUGACCUCGGCGUGGAACUCAAAUGGCUUGGUGUGGUUUUUGUCAUUCGAGCAAUCGACUCGCGGUCAUCUGUUAUAAGACCAAUAAUUUUUUGACCGAUCAGAAAUUCAGGUACCGUCAAAAUGGUAUUGCUGGAUAAACGCGUCUUAACAGCUUCGACUAUUAUAUUGGGCAUUUAGUUCAUCAGUAGACUAUCGCACAAGUUUUCACAAGUGCGAAAACUUAAAUCAAAGUGCGCGCGAUUGCUUCAAAUCAACUCUGUUUGUUCAGAGCACUUAUUCAGCAUAUAGCGAAGAAAUAGUGCGCCGAAGACAUCAACUCGAUGUAAUCGCGCACUUUUAUUUACGUUUUCGCCACUGAAUCAAAAUUCAACCAUCGCGGAACAGUAAUAAUAAUGUCGCAACCUGUAUUUGUUUCGACAAUCCACCAAAUGCGACAAAUGAAGACUUAUUGCGCAGUCCAGUAGCGAACGUAAUGCGCAAUAUAUGAGUUUUCAAUAUUUUUUUUCAUUGUUAUUUACGUCUAUUAACUAAUGCUAAUUUUACACUUAUGUAGUUUUCAAUAACAAAGUAACAAUUCUUUAUCACACAAACGAAUCUAACCUCAAAAUAACUGACAACUAUCAGGUCGUUUUGACAGAUGUAACAUGAGCAUGAAAAAGACGGCAACAAGGUCGAUAAAGUAGAAUAAUAGAAGUAAUAUAUAUGAUCCGUCUUUUUCGCGCAUGCGUGUGGUCUGUCAAAACAUUUUCAUGGCUACCCAGGUAAUCAAUAAGCAGUUGAAAUGUGCCUUUACAGCAGGUCAUUAAAUGAAUAUUAGCCGUAUAUGCGCCUUAAGUGCUGCUUAAAUGCAGGUUUUGGCCCAAUAUACGGCUGAUUAAAUGCUUAUCCCUUAGACUAUCAAAAAUUGAAACGAAAAUAUGUGUAGAAUUACACACUUCCACUCUUGCUGCCUUUUCUAUCUUCUUUUCAUAUUUAUUUUCUUCACUCUACGCUUCAAAAAGAAGUAAUUGAUGCGAUUUCGGAUGGGCUGAAAGGGCUGAAAGUAUUAUUUGGCUUGAACUCCCAAAUGAUCGUGCAUUUGAAAUGCAGCGGAACAGCUGUUACAUUUUCAGUAGCAGUUCAGUUGCUAAUUUAGGACAGUUUAGCAGUUGAACUGCUAUGAUAGAGCAGUAAACAAGUGGAAUGUCGAUAUAAUGUUGAAAUAUAGCUUGUUUAAUGCUUAUUGGUUACCUGGGUAGCUUUGUUGUUGUAAUGAAGAAUUAGGGGAUUCACUAAACAGCGUAAACUGAUUAAACUGAUUGAACGUCGCAAUCACCAAGGCAAUCUUUGAUUAUUUCUUUCACAGUUCCAUGAAACAUUUCAAUAAUUAGAUAUUUAUGGCUAACUCUGCCGUUCUUCUGUAAAGUGACGUAAGCGACAUUGACAAUUUUGAUAAAUGUUUGGUUAUUAUUCAUCAAACUCUUGAUCGUCCGUUAUGUGUUCUUUUAUAGAUGCUAGAUUACCACUAGAUCUUGCAUCCUAAUUUAGCAGACAUGCCACAGUGUUAAAAUUUCAUAAGAUAUAUACCAAAAGACGUCGACAUUUGGAAUGGCGCAUACGCCACUUUGUAGAAGAACGGCAGUAACGCAGUUAUUUAAUCUGUCUAGUGAAUACCCCUAAUGAUUCUAAAAAUGAUUCUAAACUCGUAAAAAUGCGUCUAAACCUUAUGUUCGCCUAAUCUAGCCUACGGGGCUAUUGUUCAAUGCGAGAGUAAACAAUUUAUCAUGUAAACAAUAUGUAAACUAUGGUUUAGUUUUUUGCUUCGCAACAAGAUUAGGGGCUAUGCACAAAUUACAUCACGUUUUUAAGGGGGAGGGUUGGUUUUCCAUAACGUGACGACCCAUACAAAAAAUUUGUAGGUCUCAUGCAAAAAGUGUGACAUAGGAGGGAGGGAGGGUUGAAAAUGGUCGAUUUUUGCGUGACAUAAUUUGUGUAUCACCCCUUACAGUGCCGAUUCGUUCGUUGGGGCUCGCUACAUGGGCUAUCUCGAUGGUUGAAUGUUCCCUGGUUGGGGCAAAAUCCAACUAAAAAGCAUUGCCAAUGUUAAAUUCGAUGUCAAAACGAGUUUGACGUCUGACCGCCAUCGCAUCGCACCUUCUAUAUACAGAAUGUUUGUGCAAGUAUCCCGGGUAGAGGCAAAGUAUAAACCAAGUACAAAAUAAUAACAAGUUUUGCCAUCAUAUCUCAUUUUAUCAUUCUCAUGUUCGAAUGAGUGUAAUCAGUUUCGUACCUUUUAAUUCCGCCCUAUGUUGCUUAUCCUUUGACAGAUACGCGUAUUUCGACAACCACUUGUAAUCUUCCUCAGUGUCAAUUAUCCACUGUAUCCAGUGUAUCCAGUGGAUAACUGACACUGAGGAAGAUUACAAGUGGUAUUCGAAAUACGCGUAUCUGUCAAAGGAUAAGCAACAUAGGGCGGAAUUAAAAGGUACGAAACUGAUUACACUCAUUCGAAGAGGCAAGAGGGUAUUCUGCUUAGAGGGUCCGAAAAGUCGGUACAAGAUUCUCAUGUUGUUUAUGAUUAACACUAAAUAACUCGUCAAGAACAAAAAAUGUUAUCAUUCCAAAAUUUGUUAUUUCUGAGUUAUUAUAGAAUAACAAUAAAUAACUGAAUAAUAAAAAAAUAUGCAAUCAUAUCAAAAUAAGUUCUUAUGACUAUCCCGAAUACAAUAACAUCCCAAUGGCAUAUUUUUCAAUCAUAACUUAUUUUGUUAUUGAUGAGCUAUUUUGUUUUUUUUUUUUGUUUUGUCAGAGAUAACAUGAGAAGAUCAAAUUCAAAUAGAAUAUUGACUUAAAACAAAUUUUGUUAUUGGUUUGUUGGGAAUAAGAGCUGAAAGUAAUAAUAAGAUCAAACCAAGGACAAAAUAUUUCUGAACCUCAAAUACACUUUUUCCAAUCAUAAGAACAAAAUUUACAAUUAUUAUGAUCUUUGUAGGAAUACCGUAUUACCCCGCUAAUACGACACCGACUGUUGUCGAAUAACCGGGGUAAACUUUCAAUUCGACAAACUGGUCACCCUACACCACCAUGCUCAUUGAAAUUUUGUAACUCUAUUUUUGUUUUUGUUUUGAUUUCCGGAUUUGUUAUAAAACAUAAUUUCAUCAAAUAGUGCGGUGGCGCGAAUGAAAAGCUCGUUCUUUCUACGAUUCUUGCCAUCCUCAGUUCAUUCCGGUUGGCCUCCAGGCGGUUUGGGUGUUGAAUAGCACCAACUCAGCACUUCCGAAAUUUGCGGCUGCAAGAGGAAUUGCUGCGGGUGCGAGUAUAAGCGCAAUAUCAAACUGUUUUGCAUUUACAGUGUAAAUCGUUGUGACAUUUGAACACUUUUUAAUUCGACAUGUGUCGAAUAAGCGGGAUACGAAUUAAAAAAUGUCGUAUUAAAACGUGUCGAACCAGCGGGGUAAGACGGUAGCUUAUUUUGUACUUACUUUGUUCUCAAUAGGUCGUUAAUAACUUAUUCAGUUAUUCUACAUUUAAAAAUAUUUUGUCCUUGGUUAGUUAUUAUUGAGUUAUUUUCCGAUACAAAGUCAGUUGUUAUUUUUGUUCUUUUAGCUCUUGUUCCCAACAAACCAAUAACAAAUUUUGCCAUUCAGCUAUUCAUUUUUAAUGGCAAAAUUUGAUCUUUUGUCACUUUCGUCUGCCCGGGAUAUAAGUUUUUUUAUCUGUAUUAACGAGAUUUUUAGCCCUGGGCUAGUUCAUCUCGGGACCCACGCUUUACUUCCCUUCCGAAGGAAGAACUCACAUUUUGCGAGUUUGUCGGGAGUGGGAUUCGAUCCCAGGUCCUCGGCGUGAUAGUCAAGUGUUCUAACCAUCACACCAGGUCCGCUCCACCCGGGAUAUGAGUGUUUCGUCACUUGCGUGUGUCUCGAUUAUUUCGAUCAGUUGUCAGUUGUCCCAACGAAUGACCCAACCAGCGAAUCCAGGUUGUAUUGUACUAUGUCACAACAACCUUCUCCAUUUCGCGGUUGCACCAUUGAUGAUCCAUCUCAAACCAAUGCAAUGUAGACUCGCAACGCAAUGGCAUUUCAAACCGCUUCCGAUUCCAGUCCUGCUCCUGACGUGGACAUCAUAUUUACGUAAUUCACGUCAAAACGGUCUCUGUUUACAACACAUCGCCUCCUCUGCUGGCUAGGAGGCGGCCCCACUUUCCCCACCAUCAUCAACUGGAGCAAGUGGCGUGGUAUAAUACCCGCCAUCUCUCACCCCAUGCACACCCAUGACACCCCGGCGGUGUCUUUACUACUAUUAUUAUUUAUUAUGAUGCGCCGCCGUCGUGCGCCCAUUCCCACUCCACCAGUCAGUGCAGUGUGGAAAAAGGGCAGCCGAACCGAGCCGGCCGCGUGCUCGAGAAAAACGUGUACCUCGAUGCUUGAUCGAGCGCUUUGCAUCUCGCACCGCCGCCUCCUGCUUGGGGCGAACCCACACCCCACCACGCGAGGACCAUGGUGGUGAUCCUACCGGAGAACACGCUGCAUGGCUUCCAUCCAAAUCGUCUAUUUACUUCUGUGAGAGCCGAGCUUUCCCGCAUCUAGAGCUCAGUUCAGUGUAGCCGAACGAGAGAGCACCCGCCAUGAAAGCUCAAGUAGGCGGUCGGUGGGUGGCAACGUGCCACACUUUUUUCUCAGAGUAGCCCCCCAUUCCACCCGGUCGUCGCCGAAGGUUGGCUUGGCCUUGGAGGGAGAGAGUGGAUGGAGAGAGCAGGCGUUGAGAGGGGAGCACAUGGAGCUUGUUUUAUUUACUGUUUGUUUCUAUACCAUCGCCUUCCAAGUGGCGGCGGUGGGGUUUGGGGGCCGCGUUAUCCAAAAGGACAACACUCAUGGGCGAUUCACGUGGAGUGGCUUCUUUGACCGAACCCCGAAUGAUGGGCGGUGGGGGUGUUGUUGCGCGCCUUCGGUGUGGUGGAAUUAUGACGCGCAGAGGCGGUGGGUGGGAGGAUUUGUGCACUUCGUCAGGGCCUGGUCGGUCGGUCCGGUGCUAUGUUUGUCAACAUUCUGCUGAGUGCUGCCGUUUGCGGAAAAGAUGUUUCGGGCAGUAUUAUUGCGAGGCGAUUGCUUGCGGCUCUGCGCUACGUAUAUGUAGGCGUUAAGUCUGAUUAUGUAGAUGACGUUCAUUCGAAUUCUUCGGAACUGCGAACGACUAAAAUAUAAUAAGGAGAACUAAUGAGAUAUUGCCACACGAAAAGAACAACAAAAUUUGCUGGUAAUUUUCUGUUAUCUUUUCAUGAAAUGGCAUCAUAGGUUUUCCUUUCAGAGGGUGUAGAGGAUUUCUAGAACCUUAAUAUUUAUUUUACUCUUUCAAGAUAUCUAUACAAUUUUUUUUAUUUCCUAACUUUUAUGAUAUGAGAAGAUUAUCAUCCACCUACGAUAUAGUAUAUAUUGAGAUACAUAUAUUAGAAGGCAAAACAAAUGAUGACCAACGUAUUCUGCGUAGAGCAUAUAACGAUAUAACACAAAAUGUCUUUGUAUAGUUUCGAUUCUAUCUCACACAGUAUUUCCACAUACGGAUUGCCAAGAGUUUUCGCUACAGUUUUGACCGCCUUUUAUGAACAAGAAAAAUUCAGGCCAAACAUUUCAAUAGGUCCUAUCUGCAUUUGAGAGGCUCUCUUUGUUCACUUUUUGUUUCAAUUAUUGCAAUGUAAUGGUACACUUUUCAACUAUUUUUGCAGUACAAAUCAGAAGACGAUUCUAGCGUAACAUGUGAAAUGGGCCUAAAGGCUUUUUGUAAACAAACAUGUUUCGGUCGCUGUAGGGCUCAUCUUGAUCCACCCACGCACAUCAACACGCUUAUCAGAAAUAGUAAUCUUCGGGCUAUCUGUUAAGUGUAUUGUUGUCCGUGGGUAGAUCAAGUUGAGUCCUACUGCGACCGAAACAUGUUUGUUUACAAAAAGCCUUUAGGCUCUUUUCUUAUGUUACGCUAGGAUUGUUUUGGCCGUCGUUCAAUGCUAGGAGACAAUCAUAAUACAAAUAAACAGCUGAGAUAUUAACGAAAGAGAGGGAAACCAAAGAGAGGCUCUCUUCUGCAGAUAGGACCUUUAGACAUGUUUGGCCUGAAUUAAAGUGCAUUUUACUCAGCAUUGCUAUUUAAUAUCUAAGGACUAUUCAUUAAAGAAAGUGGACACCUGUUUUUCAAUAGAAAAUAUUUAUUUUCGAACAAAUUAAAAAGUUUGUUUUUUAUUAAUGACAAUCAACAUACAUGUGGCCGAGUUCACGUGAGUUUGAACAUUUACUUCGCAUUUCUGAAGAACGCUCGGACUUUCCUCUUGAUACCUCCCAUUAGAUUCUGCACAACUUUCUCCGUAACCUUUCGUUGUGCCGCAGACAAAAUUUACUUGUAGCAAUCAACAGAGCUUGCUUCUCUUCCAUCUUUCUUGAGAUGCCGCUUGAUAAUUGUCCAGUAUCAUUUCAUAGGACGCAGUUAAGGGAAGUUUGAGGGAUUUUGCCAUUUUUCGAUGAAAUCGACUUUUUCCGUCUUGAGCAUCUCUAGUGUAGAAGAAGCGUAAUAAGCGGAUGCCAGAUCCGGCCAAAACAAUGGAGGAUCCGUAUGUUUUUGGUAGAUGGGUAGAAGUCGUUUUUUGAUGCAUUUCUCUCUGUUAUUUUCAUCGUUAAUUGUUCCCGUUGUGAAAUAUUAAGAACUCUUUGAGCCGGAAGAACUAUUGGAUUGCCGUAUUAAAAUUUUUUCCCAAUUUUUUCGGUUCUGACGUACCCUACAUCAUCCGGCACAACUGUCCCCUGCUCAGCUUUGAAAAAUUACAGUCACGGAAGUGUACUAGUAUGCAAAUUCUCGAAACGAUAACUUUUUGGAACACCAUUUGUGCAGAAUUUAAAGCUAGUCGCUAAGCUAAUCCGACCCAUCGCUCGAAAUUUCUCGCUUUUUUCCGUUUUCUUUGAGUGUAUUGCCAAAGUGAACAAUGUUUUUACACAUUGAGCAAAAAUUUAAAAUUUUUUGUUUAGUUUUAACUCUAAACUAUUGGUGAACAGAUGUCCACUUUCUUUAAUGAACAGUCCUUACAUUGAUAGCUUGUUGGCUACAAAGUUGCUUCACUCGAACGCCAAGCGUAUGGUACAGCACUAUCUUCGUCGGUCUUGGGCGACGUUUCUCUAGAUUCCCCGAACGAGUAGUGAUCUAAUUACUUACUUUCAGUCCUGGACACCCACGGGCGGAAUUGAAAGAUCUCCAUCCUGGGCGAUUGCCAGCCAUCGCCUUGACCUGUGGCUAGGUCAAAUUUCUGUCGACUUCCUUGAUUCCGUUGUUGAGGCUGUGCCGCUAUGAGCCUCUGGGUCUGCCUCUGCUGCGAUUUCUUUCUGGGUUCCAGUCGUAACGCUUGCUUGCAGAUUUCGUUUUCCUGCGUAGAGUGAGGACGACCCACCUCCACUUUCGCUCCCGAAUAUCUGUCGCUAUCGGCUUUUGAUGACAUCGACGAUGAAGCUCCACGUUAGAGAUCCAAUUGUUGGGCCACCAUUAUAUACCGCAGGCAUCUAUUGAUGAAGACCUGCAGCCGUUGAGUGUUCCACUGAUACACACCAGGUUUCACUGGCGUAUAACAGCACAGAUUUCACGUUCGAGUUGAAAAUUCGGAUUUUGGUGCGUCGACUGUUCUGGUAGUUUUUCCAUAUAUUUCUUAAACUCGCAAAAGCAGCCGUCGCCUUCUUGAUCCGUGCACCUAUGUCGAUCUUGAUGCCGCCAUCGACCGCCAUUUGGCUACCAAGAUAUUGGAAGCUUUCAACAUUCUCCAGUGAUUGCCCAGUUACCGUUAAGCUGGAAGGGUUGACCGUUUUAACAUCCAACGAUUUGAUCUUGUUGAUGUUGAUGGUAAGACCUGCCGCUGAGGAGCGAUUGGCAAGAUCAUCGAGCUUGCUCUGCAUAUCAGAGCGCCGUUGAGCUAGGAGAGCAACGUCAUCAGACAGUUCGAAGCCAUUUAGGUACUCCAUGGUAACGGGCUGCCACAGCAAUCCACGAUUUGGUUCACGGUCAAUCGCACCUACCAGGAUCUCGUCGAUUACGAUGAGGAACAGUAGCGGUGAUAGUAUACAUACAUCCUUGCCUCACUCCAGCAACGACCCGGAUGGGAUCGGACAAAACACCGUUGUGCAGUACUCGAAAAUGCUCUGUACUGUGCUUCAAUUAGGCCGAUGAUUUUCUCAGGGACACCCUUGCGCCUGAGGGCUUCCCACAUGUUUCCGUGAUUGAGACGGUCGGAAGCUUUUUCGUAAUCAAUGAACACCAGGUAGAGAGACUCAUGGAAUUCAUUGAUUUGCUUCAGAAUGAUACGGAGCGUGACAAUAUGGUCCACACAGGAUUGUUCGGCACGGAAUCCUGCUUACUGCCGUCGGAGAGUUGCGUUAAUCUUCUCCUGUAUCCGGUUAAGGAUCACUUUGCAAAGGAAUUUGAGAACGAUACACAGCAACAUGAUGCCUAGGGCAGUUCAGACUUUUAACAUGUCAAAAAUCCAAAGCUCCAAUAUGUUCGUUACAAUCCUUGGUGUAAAACUAGAGUCCUGACAAAUUUUCAGCCAUUUCGGUGGUGAUUUAAUGGUGGCCCAAGAGCAAAAUAGGUUUAUAUGGGAAUUACUAUGGAGAAGUUUCGAAAAAGGUUCUCCGCGCUGUAGAGCAUUACCACAUGGACGAAGUCAUAGGGUCAAAGCCAAAUUGAGUUCUUCAGAUCUCAAUGAUGAAUGUUGCCGAAGACCGGAACUUAUUUCGGCAAUCGUGGAAAAAGUUAUUAAACAAAUUCUCACUCGCAUACGCAUCUUUAUACACGAUGUCCUGCAAGAUGUGCAAGAAGGUAACACGCAUACUAUGAUUGCGUGUCAAGCAUAUCGAUCGAACUGUGGUCUUCUGUUCAAGCAUGCAUGAGUGAAUAUUAAUUAAUAACUUCUGUCUCGUGAUUCGAAACGAGUGGCGGUCAUCGGCAACAUUCAUCAUUAAAAUCUGAAGAAUUCAAUUUGAUUUUGACCCAACGCCUUCAUCCAUGUGGUAAUGUUCUACAGCGCGGAGAACCUUUUUCGAAAAUUCUCCAUAGUAAUUCCCAUAUAAACCUAUUUUGCUCUUGGGCCACCAUUAAAUCACCACCGAAACGGCUGAAAAUUUGACAGGACUCUAGUUUUGCACCAAGGAUUGUAAUGAACAUAUAGGAGCUUUGAAUUUUUAACGUGUUUAAAAUCUGAACUGCCCUAAUGAUGCCCCGCCAAUUAUCGCAGUCAGGUCACCCUUUUUGGGUACCUUUACUAAGACGCCUUGCAUCCAUUCGGCCAGAAAUGUCGCGGUUUCCCAUAUGUUGCAGAAUAAUUGAUGCAGUAGUUGUGCGGAUACUACGGGGUGAGCUUUGAGCAUCUCAGCUGAUAUGCGAUCGACCCCUGAGGCUCUGUUCGAUUUCAUGCUACGGAUGGCUGUUUCUAUCUGACACGGGCAGUGUGUGGAUUUUUAUCGCGAACCACUGAAUGGUCCAUGCUCAGCAAGUGAUACAUUCGCGAAUGUAACAUUUCAUGAACCAACAUGCUCGGGAACGCUCCCCGAAAUGCUGUUCAUUCUCUUGCCCGGUUCGAUACGAGAGCGCAAUCAAGAGAGAAGAUGCUCGAUGACGCUAAUGAAAGCGAUGCAUUCGGUAAGAAUAUUUUAUUGCCAUAAUUCUUUUUUUAUUGUGACUACACAACCUGCAACGUCAUGAAUACAGUUAAAUUAAAUAGUAUUUCACGUUUUUAAAGCGAAAACACAUUAAAUACUUAUGGAAAUAACGAUUAUUCACAGUUGCCCCAAGCCAACGAUGAGCGAUCAUCGGUAAGUGUUACACUUAGCGAUGCCCGCUCAUCGCCGCAGCUUGUUUAUCCUCUUUGUGUUCCUUCGUGAACCAUGCGACUCAACGAGAGAACAUACACCGCUUGGUAAUUGAAACAGAACCAACAGAAGGGAAGAAAAACUGCCGAGUGGUUCACUGAUCACUUUUUCGUCCAAACACUGGACACGGGGUAAUGCGUCGAACCCUUGGCGGAUCAUGCUGAGGUGUUGAUGGCGUGGCCUACACUUGAAAAAGGUUUCCAAAGUGCUCGAGCCAGCGUUUUAAAAUGAUCAGCCGGGUCCAGACGAGUCUUUCACGGGCAUCGUAGCAUUCAUCUUAAUCCCACUAAGGUGACGUGAGACAUCGUAGAGGAGACGGAUGUCGCCUGUGUUUGCGGCUUAUAAUGACUCCUUAGAACUCCUUAUAAAUGCCUGACGUUAUUGCUUGAGUAAUUUCUAAUAGAUUUUUUUGGGUACAAACCGUAAUGAUUUCCUUUUAGAAAUGCACCUCGGCAAAUUUGGGUAGAACCUUCUGGAAGUAUUUCUAAGGAUACCCUGGAAAAGUAUCCUGCAAAUCCCUGAUCAUUCCUAACUCAAAUUUUAACAAAUAUCUUUAAAAGAAUGGUUGGUAAAACUUCUGGAAUGAUCUAUGGCUGAACGCACGUGGAAGUUCAUAAAAUGCAGGAUUUUGUUUUGAAAAUAUUUGUUAAUAGAAAUAAUAAUAUUAUAUGCGAAUCCUUAAAAAAAAUAACUAUAGAAUUUUCGAACAGAUUUUGGAAUCAAAUAUGUCAAGGAUUUUUUCAAGAAUGUUAACAAUAAAAAUGUUAGGGACAUGUCAGGCAUAUUUUUUUUUCUUAUACAAAAAAAAAAGCUUGUUCUCAUAGAGUGCAUCGAAAAAUCUCAAAUUUUGACUGUUUGUCAAAUCUUUCAUGAAGUUAGAACCGUUCCGGUAAAACAAUUUUUUUUUAGACAACUAAUUUUUGAACUGUCAUAUCUUGGAAACCAGUUAACCAAUCUUGCACCGACUUUUCGAACCCUCUAAGCAGAAUACCCUCUAUGAAUGAGU